UAACAUCCGAAACGGGUGCUAAUACCGCAUAGUUUCUUGAUCGCAUGAUUGAGAAAGGAAAGACGGCCUUUGUGCUGUCGCUUAUGGAUGGACCCGCGGCGUAUAGUUAGUUGGUGAGGUAACGGCUCACCAAGACGAUGAUACGUAGCCGACCUGAGAGGGUGAUCGGCCACAUUGGGACUGAGACACGGCCCAAACUCCUACGGGAGGCAGCAGUAGGGAAUCUUCCGCAAUGGACGAAAGUCUGACGGAGCAACGCCGCGUGAGUGGAAAACGAAGGUUUUCGGAUCGUAAAACUCUGUUGUCAGAGAAGAACAAGUUGGAGAGUAACUGCUCCAGCCUUGACGGUAUCUGACCAGAAAGCCACGGCUAACUACGUGCCAGCCGCCGC
rnacentral:rRNA from 1 species